rnacentral:misc_RNA from 1 species
GGGUGAACAAUUAAAAUAUCGGCACUGCAUGCAUACAUACAAUACGAUCGGCAGUGGCACUGCAAGCAGGGCCCUGCAGACAGUGCUUUGAGUAGGCCCCUUUAGUUUAAAUGAGAUUUGGUGGGACUUUGCUUUUGGGUUGAGUGUUGUAUACAAGUGCUUUAACUCAGUUGCGUUUUCUUUUCAAUUUUAGUUAUCUUGUUAUCGGUUAAAUUGCCUAUUUGUGUUGUUGUCCUGGUGAAGGUUUUGUGUGUGUUGUUUUAACGCAAACUUGUGCGGGAAUUGGAACCGAACUUGUACUCCCACUAUAACUCCAAAUAAAGCAAAGUUUAAAUACUCUGAUAUUGGCAAAUCCGCAAGGGAGCCAUUUCAAGAAUAAUAAUAAUAAAGAGAUUU